CGAAAGUUUGAUCCAGCAAUACUAUCUGAAUGAUGACGGCUUUUUAAUUAUAGGUUGUAAAAUUCUUUCGUUAAAGAUGAUAAUGACAUUAUUUAAAGAAGUUUUAGUCCCGGCUAAUCUCGUGCCAGCAGCCGCGGUAAAACGGGAGGGGCAAGCGUUAUCCGGAAUAACUGGGCGUAAAGAGUUCGUAGACUGUAUUGUAAGUUAUUUGUUAAAACCUAAACAGUAAUUUUAGAAAAGCAUUUAAUACUGCUAUACUAGAGUUUUUCACAGAAAAGUAGAAUUUCAUGUGGAGGAGUGACAACCGUAGAUAUAUGAAGGAACACCAAUAGCGAAAGCAACUUUUUAGUAAAAACUGACGUUGAGGAACGAAAGUAUAGGUAGCAAACAGGAUUAGAUACCCUGGUAGUCUAUACCGUAAAUUCUGAGUGCUGUAAUUCAGAAUAUUUAUUUCAUUUUUUAUUUAUUUUGGAUUUUUUAAGCUAACGCCAUAAGCACUCCGCCUGAGGAGUACGAUCGCAAGGUUGGAACUCAAAGGAAUUGACGGGGGCCUACCACAAGUGGUGGAGCAUGUGGUUUAAUGCGAUAAUCCGCGCAAAACCUUACCAACCCUUGAAUUGAGUAAAAAUUAAAUUUUAACUAAAAGCUAUUUCAGUUUUAAUAAAAUUAUUUUUUAUAUUACAGGUGUUGCACGACUGUCGUCAGCUCGUGUCGUAAGAUGUUUGGUUCAUUCCUUUAACGAGCGUAACUCUUAUCUUUAUUAAUUUUUACUAAUUUUAAAAGUUUAAUUUUUUAAACUUUUACAAAGCUUUAAAGAUACUGACAAUGAUAAAUUGGAGGAAGGUAAGAAUCAAGUCAAGUCACUGUGGCCCUUAUGGGUUGGGCUACACACGUGCUACAAUGGAAAUUACAAAAAGUCACGAAAGAAAAAAAUCUUUAGUUAACCUUUAAAAAUUUCCCAAGUUCGGAUUACAGGCUGAAACUCGCCUGUAUGAAGGUGGAAUCACUAGUAAUCGCGAAUCAGCAUGUCGCGGUGAAUACGUACUUAGGCCUUGUACACACCGCCCGUCACAUGCAGAAAAUUAGUUUUAUUUGAAGAUUUUCAUUUCAGUUUAGUUUAACAAAAUUAAAAUAAAAUGAAAAUCUAUUAAGAAAUUAAUAAUUUGGAUGAAGUCGUAACAAGGUAGCUGUACGGGAACGUGUAGCUG
rnacentral:rRNA from 1 species